GCGAUUGUUCUAAAGGGGUCUUUUCUUUAUUUCAACUUAGUCACGAAUAUUUUUAUUCAAAUUAACGCAGCCUAGAAGAUGAUCCUGCUCUGGUGCGCUGAGCGUGAAGUCGAGGGCUCCGGCCUCUUGAUGAUCGAGCCUUAACGGGCGGCACACCAGUCAGUCUGAUAGGU
rfam:Spironucleus salmonicida unplaced genomic scaffold scf7180000020473, whole genome shotgun sequence.